GGAUUGAACCCAGGGGCUUUCAACCAUGAGCCACAUCCAUAGCCCUUUUUCUUUUUUAUUUUGAGACAGGGUCUCACUAGGUUGCUUACAGCCUCAUUAAGUUGCUGAGGCUGAUUUUGAACAUGUGAUCCUCCAGCCUCAGCCUCCUGAGCUGCUGAGAUUACAGGCAUGUGACACCAGACCCAGCUGAAAAUAUUUUGAAAGCUAAGAUCUGCUAAGUUUUGCUGUACAUGCAUGGUAUUUAACUUAAUAGUUUGUCUACUCCUACACACAUUUCAAUUUUUUAAUUUUUAAAGUGUAAAAGUAAUUUUUUGACAAAACAACUGGUAGCUUCACUCUACUUUAUUUACAGUGCAAUGGUAUCCCCUUCGAUGGUUGUGCAUGGUGUUUGUCUUAUUUUUCACAUUAAGCACAGUACCUGACUUAGAAGCUGGUCAAUGAAUAACUGAUGAUUCAAUUAAUUCCUUCCCUAAAAUAUUUCAAAAAUCCAAAGUUUGGAUAUAUAUUCAAAAAAAUAACACUAAAGCUUUAUGCUGUUAAGACCUGCCAUGUAGCUGUUAAUUGUUACUGUUACUGUAGCACAGAAUAAUAAUGAAAACUAAAAUUCAUUGACUACUUACUCUGUCCCAGGAACACCUUUUAACUAUUUAGUUCUCAAAAUGACCCUAAGAGGACACUUAUUUAUUUUAAGAACAGUGAACUCUUAAAAAAAUCUUAUGAUGAUAAGUUUGAGAAUCAAUAGCACUGAGGUUUAAACCUAUCAUUUAUCCUCUUAAAAUUUCAUUAUUGUAAACUGCUCAGUCUUUUCCCCCUUUUAUAAGGUCAUGGUCACCUAAGCCAACUCCAACAUGAACAUUAAAACAUCUUUUUUUUUCUUUGACCUCAAGGUGUUCAACAGGUCAUUUUACCCCUUGAACAAAAAGUAGCCUUUCAUAUUUAAACCACGAAUGAUUAUUUUAUGCAGCUCUGAAAAUGUAUUUAUAAAUAAUCAUGUAUUCAAACAUAAUAAGUCAUUUAGGACUGUAAUUAGUCAUUGUCAAGUCCUGGCAAACAGCAGGAUUCUAAUUGGAAAGCAGUGUUUGCCCUACUUGUGCCUCAAUGAAACUUUCAGAGAAGGGCAGCAUGUGCUUCUUAAUCUGUUUUUCUAACAGCUAGUAGCGAAUCAAUGAAGAUGAGGCUGGUGGCUAUGAUAAAUUAAUAUGCACACUGACAACUUAUAACCGUGCAAUUGCUUAGGGAAUUACUAUGUGACUAUAUCCAAGUAAUUAUAUGUUUUAAAUGAUUUAUCUCAAUUUGUUAACAAUACACCCUUAAAAUGGAAAUAAAAAGAGAGAAAAUGCAAAUAGCAUGUUAUACCAACUUUAUGUUGAACUUAUUAAGAGGUUGCCCUUUUAAUGAAGAAUUUAAUGAAUUAAGAGGUUUGUUAUGAAGAAGCAUUCUUACUACUUGUUAAGUGUUUGUCACCACAGACCUGUCAUAGUCAUUCUAAUUAUGAUUAAUACCUUAUCUUGAAUUCCAUCUUCAUUCACAUUUCAGUAACAAAUGUAACUUCCAUUAUAUGAUCAAGGUUCAUGAAAACAGGAUGAUUUGCCUAUGACCUUAUAUUUUAUUCAUUUUUGCAUUCAUAUUUAACAGAUUUCUCAGCAAUGAAGGUUAACCUUAUGGAUCUUUUAAUUUUUAAAGUGCAUUUUAUCCCUGACAUGCUUUGCAACCAUUGAUACUGCUUAAGAUCAUGAUUGUGUACUCAAGACAAAUGAAAAAUCCUAACAUUUUGAUUAUUUUAGUGUAUAUCCAGAAAUGGCUACUUUAAAGCAUUGUCUAAAAAUGUUUUUGUCUGGUAUGGACAAAGCUGGUUUAAUUCUCUCAAACCUUACUAAUAUUCUCAAUACGGAGGACACAAGUUUAUGAAGUGCAAAAAUAAUGUAUUAGAAUGCAGGGUCAUAUUUUCAGUGCAGUCUCUAUGUAAAUU
rnacentral:lncRNA from 1 species